rnacentral:rRNA from 1 species
CCUACGGGUGACAGCAGUGGGGGAUAUUGCACAAUGGGGGGAACCCUGAUGCAGCGACGCCGCGUGGGUGAAGGAGCGUUUCGGCGCGUAAAGCCCUAUCGGCAGGGAAGAAGAAGGACGGUACCUGACUAAGAAGCCCCGGCUAACUACGUGCCAGCAGCCGGGGUAAUACGUAGGGGGCAAGCGUUAUCCGGAUUUACGGGGUGUAAAGGGGGCGCAGACGGCAGCGCAAGCCAGGAGUGAAAGCCCGGGGCCCAACCCCGGGACUGCUCUUGGAACUGCGCGGCUGGAGUGCAGGAGGGGCAGGCGGAAUUCCUGGUGUAGCGGUGAAAUGCGGAGAUAUCAGGAGGA